rnacentral:rRNA from 1 species
CAAUAGCGUAUAUUUAAGUUGUUGCAGUUAAAAAGCUCGUAGUCGGAUUUUGGCUGAGGACGAUCGGUCCGCCGUUAGGUGUGCACUGAUUGGUCUCAGCUUCCUGGUGAGGAGGUGUGCUUCACGGCCACUUAGUCACCGUGGUUACUUUGAAAAAAUUAGAGUGUUCAAAGCGGGCUUACGCUUGAAUAUAUUAGCAUGGAAUAACACCAUAGGACUCCUGUCCUAUUUCGUUGGUCUCGGGACGGGAGUAAUGAUUAAGAGGAACAGUUGGGGGCAUUCGUAUUUCAUUGUCAGAGGUGAAAUUCUUGGAUUUAUGAAAGACGAACUUCUGCGAAAGCAUGUGCCAAGGAUGUUUUCAUUGA